GAGGAAAAUUGGCACAGAUGUUAGCUCAGCGACAAUUUUCUUCAGCCAAAAAGACGGAGAUUGGUAACAGAUGUUAGCUCAGGGCCAAUCUUCCUCACACACACAAAAAUAAAAUGACAGCAUGAAACCAAGAAAACAAUGUUCUUAAUUUUUAAUACCUUGCGUGUAGCCAUAAAUGUAAUCAAUUUCUGAAAACAAGCUCCUCAAUGAGAAAAAUGAAACGGUUUAUAAUGUUUCCCUAAGAAAGGAAUAUUCGGCUCAAUGUGCUAAGUUUGUGAGGACGAUGAGGCACUCCAUCUAUUGGAGGCAGUUACACAGGCGCAGUGGCCAGGCUGCUUGGAUUGGAGUCCCAGCCCCCACUAAGGAGCUGGGAGACCCAGGCCGAGAAAACUGAGGCUCAGAGAGGUCAAGUGACUUAAGGUUACACCAUGAAUGAUGGGUUCAAGACUGGAAUUCAGGGAGACCUGAGGUUGUGCAAAGAAGAAAAAGAAAUCACGAUUAUCUAAUAGUUCCUGCUGCAGUCAAGAUGAGGAAACUGAGGCCCAAAGAGGUAUCCAAAAUUCAACCCCCAUCCAGUGUUUCAAGAUUUGGGAAUGAACAUCAUAAAAUCCUGUAAUGUUAGGACCAUUUCACUGGUUUCGGCUAAAUGUUGCUUGCUAUCAUGUCACCCUGCUUUGUCUUUACCAUGGAACUCAUCACCACCUGAUAUUUUAUUUUUUGCUUUAUUGGUUCAUUGUCUAUUUUCCCAGUAGAAGACUGUGUACAGUUCUAAGCCCGCCUUGCAAGUCACUGCCGUACACAAAGUCCAUGCCCGCUGGCCCAGGGUCUGAAAGAAGCCAAGCACAACCUAGAAUAAAGGCAAUUCUGUAGUUGA